AGCAGGGUGGCUCAGUGGAAAGAGCCUGGGCUUCUGAGUCAGAGGUCAUGGGUUCGAUUUCCGGCUCUGCCA
rfam:Ornithorhynchus anatinus chromosome 4, whole genome shotgun sequence.